GGGCCUUAGAACAGUGUUUUCUCAAAUACUGUAUACCAGGAAAUCCUCCUGGCAUUUAAGAUCAUCAUCUCCCUCAAGCCUUCCUGUCAGAAAAAGAACAGCCCUAAGUGAAAUGCUGCAGAUCAGUGAGUUGGUAAACCAGCUCUGGAAACAGUGUGUUACAGCCGAUCAGACCUCUGAAAAUAUCCCACUUUGAAGAUGUAAGAAUGAGAGAGACACAUCUGAAUUAGGACGCAGAGAAGCAAUUGAGUCUAAGGCAUUUGAUGUUGCUGAUUUUGGGGAGGAACACACAAGAAGAAAUAGGAAAAAGGCUUCUGCACAGAUCUCAAAGUUUCAGAGAGUAUUAAAGCUUUGAUAGUCAUCUGUUGCCACCAGAAUCACUGUCAUGACUGCCUUUUAUGGAUAAUUAUUUCAUAGUCACCGGAAAUAGAAGCCUACCAACUUAAGUUCUGAUGAUAGUUGGCCACUAAUAAAGUGGAGAAC